UUGAAUAAACUUGGUUGGGUUGUUGCUGGCUCCUCGGAGUAUGUGCACGCCUAGCGCCAUUUUUACCACCUGUGCACCUUUUGUAGACCUGGAUAUCUCUCGAGGAAACUCGGUUUGAGGACUGCUGUGUGAAAGCCAGCUUUCCUUGCAUUUCUGGGUCUAUGUUUUUAUAUACCCCAUAAGAAUGUAACAGAAUGUCGUUUACUGGCCUUUGUGCCUUUAAUCAAAUA
rnacentral:misc_RNA from 1 species